rnacentral:lncRNA from 1 species
CCCCCCCCCCCCCCCCCUCUCUCUCUCUCCUCUCUUCUGUCAUUUGCUGUAAUCUUUUUUAGGUUGGUUGUGUAAACCAUAUUUUGUCCUGCAAACCCUACUAUAUUCUGCAGUCAAUAGACUAAUCAAAUUUUAUGGGAGGAGACAUUCCCUUUUUAUUUGUUUAUGUGAAGCGGAGACUAAGACUAUAAUGAUCCAUAAUCAUGUUGGUAGAUAAAUAGGGCAUUUGCUUUGAGGACAUAAAAAGCAGAAGUUCACGCUUUGUCAAUUGUACGUUGACAAUGGUGGAGCUAAAGAUUCAGAAGUAGAUAUGCUUGUAUUCUUGCGCUGGUGAACUUGAGAAACAAGAGAAGAAACAGCUAGAUCCUUUCCUUUGCUUCUAUCGAUUACCCCCCGCCACCCCCCCACCCCACCCCCGCCCCCCCUCUCUCUCUCUCUCUUUCUAUUUAUAUACAGACGCAACAAUUUUAUUGAUC